rnacentral:rRNA from 1 species
AGUCUGCAACUCGACUACAUGAAGCUGGAAUCGCUAGUAAUCGCAAAUCAGAAUGUUGCGGUGAAUACGUUCCCGGGUCUUGUACACACCGCCCGUCACACCAUGGGAGUUGGAAGCACCCGAAGUCUGUGACCUAACCGAAAGGGAGGAGCAGCCGAAGGUGAAGCCAGUGACUGGGGUGAAGUCGUAACAAGGUACC